AAGAGGGGCAUCGGCCACUGCGGCUCGUCAGCGUCUGCGUCGUGAGAACGGCGAGCACGCCGGCAACAUCCGGUCGGCGUUGGUACGAUCCGACGGCGAAGAAGAGAGAGCUUCAUCGCCCUCGGGAACCUGUUCGAAGAUGGAUCCAAGCCAUUCCAAGGGUGGCAUUUCAUAUCUCAUACGUUAAUACGAACCCUCUCCCUGUUCAGUCAUUCUGAAGGAGUCGCAGCGGAGAAGAGAACGAAUGGGUUUAAUUGCAUUGAGAGGGCAAGCUUCCCGGCAUUGUGAAAAUAGAGGGACACCUUAUUCCAUAAGUACACAUGAAUUGAAGCUGCAAAGCUCUUAUGUCAGUGUUAAGAUACUCAAAUGGACUUAAUUUCUCCAAAUUCGUGUUCUCGCAAUGCAUAGAACUAGAACUGGGAGUGACUGAUGAAAGCAGCAGCAAAAAGAAGCUGCUGAUCUCCAAAAUCAGUUCAAAAUGAUACAUAAAUGAAUACAAUUUGUUGACAUUGUUGGGGUGAUUCAGCAGCAGCUAGAGUUGCAGGGAAGCUCGAUCGAUAAUGGAUCAUAAGAAAACAAUUCAUAUUGAAGAUCAUCAAGAAAGUAAGUUCUACAAAGAAGGCUGGUUUUCAGCACAAUUUGCUCUUGCUCUCCUAUCGAAGUCUAACUCAAGCAUUGAAAAGAUUUUGUCGGAUCUCUCUGGCGCCCUCGUAUUUGUCUUAUUUCUCGUAGAUUCGCCAUGUCAGCAGAGGAAGAUUCAAGUUUAAGACUUUUUUAGCUAUUCAAACCCAUAAAGUUUAUUCGUUGUGUGUUGAA